rnacentral:rRNA from 1 species
AGGACGAACGCUGGCGGCGUGCUUAACACAUGCAAGUCGAGCGGAAAGGCCCUUCGGGGUACUCGAGCGGCGAACGGGUGAGUAACACGUGAGUAAUCUGCCCCUAGCUCUGGGAUAGCUCCGGGAAACCGGAUUAAUACCAGAUACAACCACUUUAGACAUCUCUUGUGGUGAAAGAUUUCGGCUAGGAUGAACUCGCGGCCUAUCAGCUUGUUGGUGAGGUAACGGCUCACCAAGGCGACGACGGGUA